rnacentral:RNase_P_RNA from 1 species
UCCCCUUCAACGCUGCGUUUCUAUGCUACAUACAGAUAUGCGCUGGCUCGCCCACGCUUAUCAGAUCUAUGGAUCGUAACUUUGCAUAUGAGAAAUUCGGAGUACUCUUCAAACCACCUUCUUCCCACUCCCUUCUGGCAGUGGUGACAGGUCUGCCCACGAGGGCUCGGCGCGAUAUCGCGUCUGCAAUUGGCAUCAGAAAAGCAGGGCAAGUCUCUCCUCACAUACUAUCUCUCCGGGGGUAGGAAGGGGGGGUGUGCUUGUUCCUAUGGGAGAGCCGUUGCGAAGAUUGUGUGUGCUGAGGCAUGACACUUAAGUGCAAUACGCAGCGUGCCUUUUCCUUUUAGUCACUUGUGGCUGGAGGGUUGGGUACAAUUCGAUUCCGAUUACUCUGUUGGGGA